GACGAACGCUGGCGGCGUGCUUAACACAUGCAAGUCGAACGGAAAGGCCCUGCUUUUGUGGGGUGCUCGAGUGGCGAACGGGUGAGUAACACGUGAGUAACCUGCCCUUGCCUUUGGGAUAACUUCAGGAAACUGGGGCUAAUACCGGAUAGGAGCUCCUGCUGCAUGGUGGGGGUUGGAAAGUUUCGGCGGUUGGGGAUGGACUCGCGGCUUAUCAGCUUGUUGGUGGGGUAGUGGCUUACCAAGGCUUUGACGGGUAGCCGGCCUGAGAGGGUGACCGGCCACAUUGGGACUGAGAUACGGCCCAGACUCCUACGGGAGGCAGCAGUGGGGAAUAUUGCACAAUGGGCGGAAGCCUGAUGCAGCAACGCCGCGUGCGGGAUGACGGCCUUCGGGUUGUAAACCGCUUUCGCCUGUGACGAAGCGUGAGUGACGGUAAUGGGUAAAGAAGCACCGGCUAACUACGUG
rnacentral:rRNA from 1 species